UGCAGUUAAAGCUCGUAGUUGAACCUUGGGCCUGGCUGGCCGGUCUGCCUCACCGCAUGCACUGGUCCGGCCGGGCCUUUCCCUCUGGGGAGCCGCAUGCCCUUCACUGGGUGUGUCGGGGAACCAGGACUUUUACUGUGAAAAAAAAUUAGAGUGUUCAAAGCAGGCCUAUGCUCGAAUACAUUAGCAUGGAAUAAUAGAAUAGGACGUUGCGGUUCUAUUUUGUUGGUUUCUAGGACCGCCGUAAUGAUUAAUAGGGACAGUCGGGGGCAUCAGUAUUCAAUCGUCAGAGGUGAAAUUCUUGGAUCGAUUGAAGACUAACUACUGCGAAAGCAUUUGCCAAGGAUGUUUUCAUUAAUCAGGAACGAAAGUUAGGGGAUCGAAAACGAUCAGAUACCGUUGUAGUCUUAACCAUAAACUAUGCCGACUAGGGAUCGGGCGAUGUUUUUCUUUGACUCGCUCGGCACCUUACACGAAAGUAAAGUUUUUGGGUUCUGGGGGGAGUAUGGUCGCAAGGCUGAAACUUAAAGAAAUUGACGGAAGGGCACCACAAGGGGUAAACGCUUACAGCUUCGCCGCAGUAGCUCUGCUCCUAAAAGCAGCCUGAAAGGGUAAUGUGGUAGUUCCUGGCAUAUGCCGAAUUUGAAUGCUAGUCCUCUCUUGCGAGGGCGACACCCCCAAACUGCGGGAAACUCCUAAAGCACUUGCUCCAAAGCCAGUCUCCGAAAGGUACUGGUGGCCAGGUUAAUAGCCUCGGGUACUGGAAAAACGCAAAGUGAUGUUACAAUGGACAAUCCGCAUCCCAGCCCCUAAGGUCAGUUAUGGCUAUGGGGAAGGUUCAGAGACUAGACGGGGGUGGGUUGGAAACAAACCCAUCGUAUUCUCAAGAAAAUGUUAUGGGCAAGUCCGGCUUAAGAUAUAGUCCGUGCCAACGACGAAAUUCGUUGGAUCU
rnacentral:rRNA from 1 species